GGGGAUAUAGCUCAGCUGGGAGAGCGCCUGCCUUGCACGCAGGAGGUCAGCGGUUCGAUCCCUUAUCUCCACCA
rnacentral:tRNA from 1 species